GAGGAAUAUUGCGCAAUAGAGGCAACUCUGACGCAGCCAUGCCGCGUGCAGGAAGAAGGCGCUACGCGUUGUAAACUGCUUUUAACCGGGAAGAAACCCCUCGACGUGUCGAGGGUUGACGGUACCGGAGGAAUAAGCACCGGCUAACUUCGUGCCAGCAGCCGCGGUAAUACGAAGGGUGCAAGCGUUAUCCGGAUUCAUUGGGUUUAAAGGGUGCGUAGGCGGGGCGGUAAGUCAGUGGUGAAAUCCUGCAGCUUAACUGUAGAAUUGCCAUUGAUACUGCCGCUCUUGAGUACGCUCGACGUGGGCGGAAUGUGCCGUGUAGCGGUGAAAUGCUUAGAUAUGGCACAGAACACCGAUCGCGAAGGCAGCUCACGAGGGCGAAACUGACGCUGAGGCACGAAAGCGUGGGGAUCGAA
rnacentral:rRNA from 1 species